CACUUAACAAUAUGUGCAGGCAGGACCGAAAAAAGGUGUGGUGCCUUCCAGCCCAUAAAUCAAAGUUUUCUCUUGUCACUGCCGUGUAAGAAGUGCCUUUUGCCUCCUGCCAUGAUUCUGAGGCUUCCCCAGCCAUGUGGAACUAGAUGACGCCUUGCUGUGUUGCCCAGGGUGGUCUCUAAUUCCUGGCCUUUAGCAAUUCUCCCGCCUUGGCCUCCUAAAGCACUGGGGUUACAGGCAUGAACCACUGUGCCCAGCCUGCAUGAUGUAAUCUCCAAAUUGAGGGCAGGAGAGAGAGUGGUCUCACAACGGAAGGGCACCAGCCACUGAGAAGUCCUAAGGCCGUGUUUGAGUUCUGGCUCAUCUUUUUUGCUAAUUUGCUCUUAUGCAUAUCACCCAACCUCGCUAAGCCAGUUUCAUCAUCAGCGAGAACAGCACACUGACAUGCAGGGCCAGCUCAGGCGCUACCACAAGCUACACAUCCGUCCAUUCGUUUAAUCUUCACAGCAGCCCUGGAGAUCCCCUGGAGGUAUAUAGCUUAUUAACACAAAACAAAUGUGACACUUGAAAGGCAGGAGACUUGGUUUCUAUUCUCUGGCCCACUACUGACUUAUUGGGUGGCUUCAGGCAAAUAAGUGAAAUCAAGAAGACACCAUCUUCAACAAGCACAGAGUGGGCACCUGGCAGACUUUCUUUUUUAAAAGCAAAAUAAAUUGACAUGACUUGUUCAGGGUUAACUGUUUGGCAGGUGGAUGAUCUGUGGCCAUCCAUGAUGAGAUCACCUCCCUGCCCCGCUGGCCCCCAGCCUCUAGAAGUCAGGGCUUCUGAGGCCCAGAAGCUCAGCGCCACACCUGUUGAAGGCCAGUGAUGUCAGAGUUACUCUUCCUUCCUCCAGCAGCACUGACAGCAGUUUAUUGUACGCAAUUUCUAGAACUCAGAUGUUCUAGAAGGAAGCAAACAUAUUCUGAGAUCACAGACUAUGACUAUGCUCUCAGAAUAUGUUCUAGAACACCUAAGUUGCAAUUCUUAAAAUCAACACAGCGUAAGACUGCUUUAGGAGGAAGUGAUCAAGCUCAAAGCAACCUAGGCAUGAUGUGCCUUGUUUGUUUAUCUGUUUGAACAGGAAUAAAACGAAAAGAGGCCUGUG
ensembl:lncRNA LINC00513 long intergenic non-protein coding RNA 513